rnacentral:ribozyme from 1 species
AUUUCGUGCGUUGUUGGAGUCUCAGGAGUUUGUGGAGCCUGUAGCAGGCACGAUUUCCCUGAACUUUGGACUUCGCUGCUUACGUUGUUAUCCGAAGUUACGUAACAUGUCUUGUCAAAUUUCUGAGCUUGGGUAUACGGGGAAACCCAACCCCCUUUGGGAACAUGGGCGAUAUGGCUAAAUUGAGCAGA